GCUAGGAUUGCUGAAUGGUUAAGGUGUUAAACUUAAGAUUCAAUGAAUAGAUGUCUGUGUGGGUUUAAGCCCCACUCCUGGUA
rnacentral:tRNA from 1 species